UACGUAGGGUGCAGGCGUUAAUCGGAAUUACUGGGCGUAAAGCGUGCGCAGGCGGUCUCUUAAGACAGGUGUGAAAUCCCCGGGCUUAACCUGGGAACUGCGCUUGUAACUGGCAGGCUUGAGUGUGGCAGAGGGGGGUGGAAUUCCAGGUGUAGCAGUGAAAUGCGUAGAGAUCUGGAGGAACACCGAUGGCGAAGGCAGCCCCCUGGGCUAACACUGACGCUCAUGCACGAAAGCGUGGGGAGCAAACAGG
rnacentral:rRNA from 1 species